UUAGCGGCGGACGGGUGAGUAACACGUGGGCAACCUGCCUGUAAGACUGGGAUAACUUCGGGAAACCGGAGCUAAUACCGGAUAAUCCUUUCCCUCACAUGAGGGAAAGCUGAAAGACGGUUUCGGCUGUCACUUACAGAUGGGCCCGCGGCGCAUUAGCUAGUUGGUGAGGUAACGGCUCACCAAGGCGACGAUGCGUAGCCGACCUGAGAGGGUGAUCGGCCACACUGGGACUGAGACACGGCCCAGACUCCUACGGGAGGCAGCAGUAGGGAAUCUUCCGCAAUGGACGAAAGUCUGACGGAGCAACGCCGCGUGAGCGAAGAAGGCCUUCGGGUCGUAAAGCUCUGUUGUCAGGGAAGAACAAGUGCCGGAGUAACUGCCGGCACCUUGACGGUACCUGACCAGAAAGCCACGGCUAACUACGUGCCAGCAGCCGCGGUAAUACGUAGGUGGCAAGCGUUGUCCGGAAUUAUUGGGCGUAAAGCGCGCGCAGGCGGUCCUUUAAGUCUGAUGUGAAAGCCCACGGCUCAACCGUGGAGGGUCAUUGGAAACUGGGGGACUUGAGUGCAGAAGAGGAGAGUGGAAUUCCACGUGUAGCGGUGAAAUGCGUAGAGAUGUGGAGGAACACCAGUGGCGAAGGCGACUCUCUGGUCUGUAACUGACGCUGAGGCGCGAAAGCGUGGGGAGCGAACAGGAUUAGAUACCCUGGUAGUCCACGCCGUAAACGAUGAGUGCUAAGUGUUAGAGGGUUUCCGCCCUUUAGUGCUGCAGCAAACGCAUUAAGCACUCCGCCUGGGGAGUACGGCCGCAAGGCUGAAACUCAAAGGAAUUGACGGGGGCCCGCACAAGCGGUGGAGCAUGUGGUUUAAUUCGAAGCAACGCGAAGAACCUUACCAGGUCUUGACAUCCUCUGACAACCCUAGAGAUAGGGCGUUCCCCUUCGGGGGACAGAGUGACAGGUGGUGCAUGGUUGUCGUCAGCUCGUG
rnacentral:rRNA from 2 species